UUUAUAAAGAGUUUGAUCCUGGCUCAGGACGAACGCUGGCGGCGCGCCUAACACAUGCAAGUCGAACGAGCAAGAGAGAGCUUGCUUUCUCGAGCGAGUGGCGAACGGGUGAGUAACGCGUGAGGAACCUGCCUCAAAGAGGGGGACAACAGUUGGAAACGACUGCUAAUACCGCAUAAGCCCACGACCCGGC
rnacentral:rRNA from 1 species